rnacentral:rRNA from 1 species
AGAAUCAACGCUGGCGGCGUGCCUAACACAUGCAAGUCGAACGAGAAAGGGGUAGCAAUACCCUGAGUAAAGUGGCGCACGGGUGAGUAACACGUGACUAACCUACCCUGGAGUGGGGGAUAACUGAGGGAAACCUUAGCUAAUACCGCAUAAUACCCACGGGUCAAAGGAGCAAUUCGCUUCAGGAGGGGGUCGCGGCCGAUUAGUUAGUUGGCGGGGUAAUGGCCCACCAAGACGAUGAUCGGUAUCCGGCCUGAGAGGGCGCACGGACACACUGGAACUGAAACACGGUCCAGACUCCUACGGGAGGCAGCAGUGGGGAAUUUUGCGCAAUGGGGGAAACCUGACGCAGCAACGCCGCGUGGAGGAUGAAGUACUUCGGUACGUAAACUCCUUUCGAUCGGGACGAUAAUGACGGUACCGAGAGAAGAAGCCCGGCUAACUUCGCGCCAGCAGCCGC